rnacentral:rRNA from 1 species
CAGUCGCCACGGUAAUACGUAGGUCCCGAGCGUUGUCCGGAUUUAUUGGGCGUAAAGCGAGCGCAGGCGGUUAGAUAAGUCUGAAGUUAAAGGCUGUGGCUUAACCAUAGUACGCUUUGGAAACUGUUUAACUUGAGUGCAGAAGGGGAGAGUGGAAUUCCAUGUGUAGCGGUGAAAUGCGUAGAUAUAUGGAGGAACACCGGUGGCGAAAGCGGCUCUCUGGUCUGUAACUGACGCUGAGGCUCGAAAGCGUGGGGAGCGAACAGGAUUAGAUACCCCGGUAGUCCCUGUCUCUUAUACA